GGAUGUUCCUAACUCCUGUCUCAUCCAUCACCUCAUUGAAGCUGGUUGGUCAGCCAGAGAGAGAGAGAUGGAGAGGGAGAUCUGGAGCCUUCAGUAAAUCCUGCAGCCGGUCCUCAGGAAAGUGCUGACUCCAUAGACUUCCCAAUUGCUGGGUGUCUCGUCCAACACCUCAUUGAAGUUGAUUGGUCAGCCAGAGAGACAAAAGGCAGAGAGAUCUGGAGCCUUCAAUAAAUCCUGCAGUGAGGUACUCAGGAAAGUCCUGACUCAAUAGCCUUCCCAGCUGCGGGGUGGAUUAUCCAUCACCACAUUGAACGCAGUUGGUCUGCCAGAGGGAGACAAAGGGAAAGGAGAUCUGGAGCCUUCAAUAAAUCCUGUAGUGAGGUAUUCCUGAUGUCCCUGACUCAGCAGAAUUCCCAAUUCCUUCUCGUCCAUCACCACAGUGAAGGUGGUUGGUCAGCCAGAGAGAGAUGGAGAGUGAGAUCUGGAGCCUUCAGUAAAUCCUGCAGCCGGUACUCAGGAAGUUCCUGACUCAAUAGACUUCCCAACUGCUGUGUGUCUCAUCCAUCACCUUAUUGUAGAUGGUUGGUCAGCCAGAGAGACAAAGGGCAGGGAGAUCUGGAGCCUUCAAUAAAUCCUGCAGUGAGCUCUCCGCCCGCACAGCCGCGCUGUCCGCGAGGAUGAUCACGUGGUAUAAUCAGGUCCCG